AUGUAGGGCGAUCUCUCUUUAAGUAGGGGUAAAUUACUCCCAAUGAAAAAAUAAAAAAGGAAUCCUAGAUAGUUUUUCCUUCAAAUCAAGUGUCUUGU
rnacentral:pre_miRNA from 1 species